CCGCCGACGGCCAACCAAAAAUCAAAACUCUUGUACCUAAAACGUGUCGUCUGAACAAAACUUUUUUUGAUUGUAUAAUCUAAAAACAAAACUUUCAACAACGGAUCUCUUGGUUCUGGCAUCGAUGAAGAACGCAGCGAAAUGCGAUAAGUAAUGCGAAUUGCAGAAUUUCCGUGAGUCAUCGAAUCUUUGAACGCACAUUGCGCCCAUUGGUAUUCCGAUGGGCAUGCCUGUUCGAGCGUCAUUAUCCUCCCUCAAACCUCGCGUUUGGUGUUGGGUCGGAAGCGGGACUUGUCCCCCUUCGACCCCAAAGACAAUGACGGCGUCCGUUGGGACCCUCGGUGCAACGAGCUUCUUUGGAGCACGCACUGUGGUGGUUCUCCCUCCGGGCUGGUCUCAACCCUUUUUACAUUUACCAGGUUGACCUCGGAUCAGGUAG
rnacentral:rRNA from 1 species